GACGAACGCUGGCGGCGUGCCUAAUACAUGCAAGUAGAACGCUGAAGAGAGGAGCUUGCUCUUCUUGGAUGAGUUGCGAACGGGUGAGUAACGCGUAGGUAACCUGCCUUGUAGCGGGGGAUAACUAUUGGAAACGAUAGCUAAUACCGCAUAACAAUGGGUGACACAUGUCAUUUAUUUGAAAGGGGCAAUUGCUCCACUACAAGAUGGACCUGCGUUGUAUUAGCUAGUAGGUGAGGUAACGGCUCACCUAGGCGACGAUACAUAGCCGACCUGAGAGGGUGAUCGGCCACACUGGGACUGAGACACGGCCCAGACUCCUACGGGAGGCAGCAGUAGGGAAUCUUCGGCAAUGGGGGCAACCCUGACCGAGCAACGCCGCGUGAGUGAAGAAGGUUUUCGGAUCGUAAAGCUCUGUUGUAAGUCAAGAACGAGUGUGAGAGUGGAAAGUUCACACUGUGGCGGUAGCUUACCAGAAAGGGACGGCUAACUACGUGCCAGCAGCCGCGGUAAUACGUAGGUCCCGAGCGUUGUCCGGAUUUAUUGGGCGUAAAGCGAGCGCAGGCGGUUUGAUAAGUCUGAAGUUAAAGGCUGUGGCUCAACCAUAGUUCGCUUUGGAAACUGUCAAACUUGAGUGCAGAAGGGGAGAGUGGAAUUCCAUGUGUAGCGGUGAAAUGCGUAGAUAUAUGGAGGAACACCGGUGGCGAAAGCGGCUCUCUGGUCUGUAACUGACGCUGAGGCUCGAAAGCGUGGGGAGCGGACAGG
rnacentral:rRNA from 1 species